ACCUCUCCCGAGACCGGCCAGGCCCCUACAGUACAGGGGCUGAAGGGUGUACCACGAGCCCUAAAAGAGAUGCAGCUGGAGUCCGCCCCGCACAGGGCGCUGGGGUGGACCGGGGAGGCGCCUUACCCAGUGGAAAGACUCCCGGAUCAAGGGAGAAAGUUACACAGGCUUCCGAUCCUGAUCCGCCAUCAGCCGCCGAACCUCUUCCGCCACUACCGCCUACCCCCAAAGACCGGCUACACCUCCCCUCACAGCCCACAGUAGGCCUUGCGUCACUUCCGCCCACGGGGCGGUCUCUUCCGCCUCCUGGCGGGUUCGCCGCGCCCCUCCGCGACGACACGCCCCCAGCUCACUCCGCCGCGGGACGCGUCAUGCCGCGGGUACCCUUCACAAGUUUAACAGCCUCCACCCCUCGGGCACCAAGCAGUCUUAUCCAGGAAAAAAAAAAAAAAGAGACUGAUUCUCAGUAGUAAUCUCUGUGCCUAUGAGGAACUUAAUGCAAGUCUCAGGAUCUCAAAAUAAGACCUACGAGCAUAAAGUAAUAAGUCUGUCAAGCUGGGUUUCCAUGCAUAGGGGGAGGAUCUCUUUAAGUAAGGAAACUUCCUUGUGCUUCUUUAAGCACAGUUGCUAUCAUUCCAGGAGAAGCUCCUUUUAACCCAUAUCUUCUUCCAACUAGCAUCCUAUUUUUUUUCUUUCCUUCCCAGCUGAACUUCUUAAGGACCAAUCUAUAUGAUGUGAUGUUUUAGAUAUUAACCUAUUUUUCUUGGUGUUUUCCCCCUGUAUAGCUUGCCACUUUCCCAACCCUCACCCAUAGGUUUGUUGCCUUGAAGAAAGGAUGUAGAAGGAAAAUCUUUCUGGCUUCUGUUUCCAGACUCUCAAACCCCACAAAUGGGGAGAGGAUUCAAGCCACAGAGAAAUGGCUUCAGGAGAAGCCAAGGGCAGGGGUAUAUAGGUGGAGGGAGAACAGGCAGCAUCUUCCUCCCCCUCAACUCUAGAAACAGAUUUCUCUGGGUCUGAGAGGGUGGGAGGGUGCUUCUAGGUGGACAAAACCACACAGCCCGUUUAACCUUCCUGGGUCUCCAAAAUAUCUCAUACCCUAUCUUAGUACAGAGCAAUAUUUCAAAAUCCUGACAAAACCAGAAUGGAGACUCAAAACAGAAAUUGAAUUGGUGGAAUAUAUUAAAACAUACUUCUU
rnacentral:antisense_RNA from 1 species